UGGGUGAUCUGCCCUGCACUUUGGGAUAAGCCUGGGAAACUGGGUCUAAUACCGAAUAUGACCAUGCACUUCCUGGUGUGUGGUGGAAAGCUUUUGCGGUGUGGGAUGGGCCCGCGGCCUAUCAGCUUGUUGGUGGGGUAAUGGCCUACCAAGGCGACGACGGGUAGCCGGCCUGAGAGGGUGACCGGCCACACUGGGACUGAGACACGACCCAGACUCCUACGGGAGGCA
rnacentral:rRNA from 1 species